CUCUCUCUCUCCAUCUCUCUCUUUCUCUCUCUCUCCUUCUUUCUUUUUUUUUUUUUCUUUAGUGGCAGAAUAGACCCGACAUGAAGUGGACAGGCGUGGCCGUCCUGGGCAUGGUGUCCCGUGGUGCUCACUUGCCCUCCACUGUGCUGUGGCAGUACUCUUAGCUCUCUGCUCUUACAGUGUCUCUGAGAGUGCGACCCAAACACACCAUGAGCCGUUCCUGUGUUGCUGUCCCAGCUUGUGCAUUCCCACUGAGCCACUGGGUGCCUGUCUUCCCAUUUCCUGCUCUGUGCCCUGGUCCUUGGUUCCCAAGGUGGGGCUUUCCAAGUCCUCCCCUCCCCCAAAUGUCACUGUGAGUCUAAGGUCCAGAUAAAACUGACAGGCACUUUUGUCCUUUUAUCCCUGUCCCCUGAUUUUUCUGACAAGACCAGAAGUUUUCAGUGACCCGAAUCUUCGCAGCAGGAUUGGACCUUCUCUGUCUCUAAUCAUAUCAAGUUGAAUGAGUGAGGGAUGAGCUGUAACUCAGUCGGCCACAUGCUCGCCUGGCAUGCACAGUCUGAGUUCCAUCCCCAGUACCAGUACAUGAACCAGGUCUGUGUAAUGGACUCAGGAGGUCGAGGCAGGAGGAUCCAAGGUUCCAGGAUUCUCUUUGGCUGUGUAACAGAGUCUGAGGCUAGCCCUGGCUAUGUGAGACCCUGUCUAAUAAAAAGGAGAAAAGCUGUAUAAAUGAACAGUGUUUUUCUUGGAUCUCCUGACUUUGGCUCGUCUUGGGGGACAGCAUGGAUGUGUCCUGUCUACGUGGUGGGCUGGCAGUCUGGGUCACUCCAGCCACAGACUUUCUCCCUUUGUUCUUGCUAAUGCUCAGUGUCUGUCACUGCUGUGUCUCUCUCCACCUCACCUUCGCCGUUCCAUUGUUACAGGCUUUCUAUGAUCUGUCCUGUGUUUUCCCUCUAGUCAGGAGUGGCAGGAAAGGACGCCGGCGAGUGUUCAGCCUGUCGGAGGCCGACAGUCACGGCGGCCACUGGGUUUAGUGCUUCGACCAGCAGCUGCCACGGCACCUCACGCACAAUCAAA